GAUGAACGCUAGCGAUAGGCCUAACACAUGCAAGUCGAGGGGCAGCAUAGAGUAGCAAUACUUUGAUGGCGACCGGCGCACGGGUGAGUAACACGUAUGCAACCUACCUACAUCAGGGGAAUAACCCGGAGAAAUUCGGACUAAUACCGCAUAAUACAGGGAUGCCGCAUGGCAAUAUUUGUUAAGGAUUUAUCGGAUGUAGAUGGGCAUGCGUUCCAUUAGCUGGUUGGUAAGGUAACGGCUUACCAAGGCAACGAUGGAUAGGGGAACUGAGAGGUUUGUCCCCCACACUGGAACUGAGACACGGACCAGACUCCUACGGGAGGCAGCAGUGAGGAAUAUUGGUCAAUGGACGAGAGUCUGAACCAGCCAAAUCGCGUGAAGGAAGACUGCCCUACGGGUUGUAAACUUCUUCUGUACAGGAAUAAAAGACAUUACGUGUAAUGUAUUGCAUGUACUGUACGAAUAAGCAUCGGCUAACUCCGUGCCAGCCGCCGCAGUAA
rnacentral:rRNA from 1 species